rnacentral:rRNA from 1 species
UACGGAGGAUGCAAGCGUUAUCCGGAAUGAUUGGGCGUAAAGCGUCCGCAGGUGGCUGUGUAAGUCUGCUGUCAAAGAGCGAAGCUCAACUUCGUAAAGGCAGUGGAAACUACACGGCUAGAGUGCGUUCGGGGCAGAGGGAAUUCCUGGUGUAGCGGUGAAAUGCGUAGAGAUCAGGAAGAACACCGGUGGCGAAGGCGGCAUCCUGGACCAAUACUGACGCUGAGGAGCGAAAGCCAGGGGAGCAAACGGG